rnacentral:rRNA from 1 species
GACGAACGCUGGCGGCGUGCUUAACACAUGCAAGUCGAACGGUAAGGCCCUUCGGGGUACACGAGUGGCGAACGGGUGAGUAACACGUGGGUGAUCUGCCCUGCACUUCGGGAUAAGCCGGGGAAACUGGGUCGAAUACCGGAUAGGACCCUGGGAUGCAUGUCCCGGGGUGGAAAGCUUUUGCGGUGUGGGAUGGGCCCGCGGCCUAUCAGCUUGUUGGUGGGGUGAUGGCCUACCAAGGCGACGACGGGUAGCCGGCCUGACGAGGGUGACCGGCCACACUGGGACUGAGAUACGGCCCAGACUCCUACGGGAGGCAGCAGUGGGGAAUAUUGCACAAUGGGCGCAAGCCUGAGGCAGCGACGCCGCGUGAGGGAUGACGGCCUUCGGGUUGUAAACCUCUUUCAGCACCGACGAAGCGCAAGUGACGGUAGGUGCAGAAGAAGGACCGGCCAACUACGUGCCAGCCGCCGCGGUAA